rnacentral:rRNA from 1 species
UACGUAGGGUGCAAGCGUUGUCCGGAAUUAUUGGGCGUAAAGAGCUCGUAGGCGGUCUGUCACGUCGGAUGUGAAAACUCGGGGCUCAACCCCGAGCCUGCAUACGAUACGGGCAGACUUGAGUUCGGCAGGGGAGACUGGAAUUCCUGGUGUAGCGGUGAAAUGCGCAGAUAUCAGGAGGAACACCGGUGGCGAAGGCGGGUCUCUGGGCCAUUACUGACGCUGAGGAGCGAAAGCGUGGGGAGCGAACAGG